AUUCCAGCUCCAAUAGCGUAUAUUAAAGUUGUUGCAGUUAAAAAGCUCGUAGUUGAACUUCAGACCUGGCCGGGCGGUCCGCCUUCUGGCGUGUUACUGUCUGGCCGGGCCUUACCUCUUGGUGAGCCUGCAUGCCCUUUACUGGACGUGUAGGAGAACCAGGACCUUUACCUUGAGAAAAUUAGAGUGUUCAAAGCAGGCAUACGCCCGAAUACAUUAGCAUGGAAUAAUAAAAUAGGACGUGCGGUUCUAUUUUGUUGGUUUCUAGAGUCGCCGUAAUGAUUAAUAGGGAUAGUUGGGGGCAUUAGUAUUCAGUUGCUAGAGGUGAAAUUCUUGGAUUUACUGAAGACUAACUACUGCGAAAGCAUUUGCCAAGGAUGUUUUCAUCA
rnacentral:rRNA from 1 species